GUCUGCCAUCCCACAGCUGCUCUGUGCCUCCUGUGAAGGCAGAGGGGGGCUGGCAGUCACCAUGUUCUCCCACUUGGUGGGCUGCAGUCAGGAAAAAGUGGAGCCUGUUAUACCCAAUGAACCACAAAAAGCCACCCUGUUUGUGACAAAAUCUAAACCUGUGCUUCAGCGCAUCUGGUUGUGUGGCCAAGGAAGGAUCUCUUGGAGCUGUUCUUUUCUAUGUCUUGUGACCGCAUCACCAACAAUUCCUCUCAAGGUCCCAAAGCUAUAUUCCUACAGAAAUGACAUUCCUUGAGUGCAUGUCAGUCUUCCCAGAACCCUUGGCAGCUCUGCAGAAGCAUGGGAUCUUGUGCAAUAGUGUUACUUUGGCAGUACAGAGGUCUCAAGCCCUUUCAGAAGGGCAAUGAGGGACUGCUGGAUACUAAAGGUGUCUAUCAUCAGAGGAAAACAGAAGUAACUUUAUACCUAGAAUGUGCAGAGAUCAAACAGGAUGAGUGUUGCAGAAAAACAAUAAAGGCAUGUGUGUGCUUGUGUGUGUGUGAAUUCAUCCUGUUUAUGGGAACAGUAGGGUUUGCUGUAGAAAGUGCUGGUGCCAGCAGGAACUUGCCUGACUGUUUCAGGGCUGUGGUUAUUCAAACACCAAUGAGACUUCACACUUGGUCUGAGAUGCUAAAUUUAAUCAGUCACCCUACAACUGCAUGAUGCUUCACUGACAAUUUGGAGCUGAAGAGGUCACUCAUUUAUAAUCACUCCAUUCAGAAGGGUAAAUGAGCCUGUU